UGAUUUGUAAUCAGUAGGUCGGCGGUUCGAAUCCGUCUGGGGGCA
rnacentral:tRNA from 1 species